GAUGAACGCUAGCGGCAGGCUUAAUACAUGCAAGUCGUGGGGCAGCAUGAAUGUAGCAAUACAUUUGAUGGCGACCGGCAAACGGGUGCGGAACACGUACACAACCUUCCUAUAAGUGGGGAAUAGCCCAGAGAAAUUUGGAUUAAUACCCCGUAACAUAAUGAUGUGGCAUCACAUUAUUAUUAUAGCUUCGGCGCUUAUUGAUGGGUGUGCGGCUGAUUAGAUAGUUGGCGGGGUAACGGCCCACCAAGUCUACGAUCAGUAGCUGAUGUGAGAGCAUGAUCAGCGACACGGGCACUGAGACACGGGCCCGACUCCUACGGGAGGCAGCAGUAAGGAAUAUUGGUCAAUGGACGCAAGUCUGAACCAGCCAUGCCGCGUGAAGGAUUAAGGUCCUCUGGAUUGUAAACUUCUUUUAUCUGGGACGAAAAAAGGCGAUUCUUCGUCACUUGACGGUACCAGAUGAAUAAGCACCGGCUAACUCCGUGCCAGCAGCCGCCGUAAGAC
rnacentral:rRNA from 1 species